AGGACGAACGCUGGCGGCGCGCUUAACACAUGCAAGUCGAGCGAGAACCAGGGCUUCGGCUCUGGGGACAGCGGCGAACGGGUGAGUAACACGUGGGUAAUCAACCCUCGACAUCGGGAUAGCCCGGGGAAAACCCGGAUUAAUACCGAAUGCUCCGUCUGGCCUUCGGGCCGGCCGGAAAAGGUAGCUUCGGCCUCCGGUCGGGGACGAGCCCGCGGCGGAUUAGCUUGUUGGUGGGGUAAAGGCCCACCAAGGCGACGAUCCGUAGCUGGUCUGAGAGGACGAUCAGCCACACUGGGACUGAGACACGGCCCAGACUCCUACGGGAGGCAGCAGUGGGGAAUCUUGCGCAAUGGGCGAAAGCCUGACGCAGCGACGCCGCGUGAGGGAAGAAGGCCUUCGGGUGUAAACCUCUUUCAGGAGGGACGAAGCCACUCGGGUUAAUAGCCGAGAGGGUGACGGUACCUCCAGAAGAAGCCCCGGCUAACUACGUGCCAGCAGCCGCGGUAA
rnacentral:rRNA from 1 species